rnacentral:rRNA from 1 species
AGAACGAACGCUGGCGGCAGGCUUAACACAUGCAAGUCGAACGCUCGUAGCAAUACGGGAGUGGCAGACGGGUGAGUAACGCGUGGGAACAUACCCUCCGGUUCGGAAUAGCUCAGGGAAACUUGGAUUAAUACCGGAUACGGCCGAGAGGCGAAAGAUUUAUCGCCGGAGGAUUGGCCCGCGUUCGAUUAGCUAGUUGGUGAGGUAACGGCUCACCAAGGCGAUGAUCGAUAGCUGGUCUGAGAGGAUGAUCAGCCACAUUGGGACUGAGACACGGCCCAAACUCCUACGGGAGGCAGCAGUGGGGAAUAGUUGGACAAUGGGCGCGAAGCCUGAUCCAGCCAUGCCGCGUGAGUGAUGACGGCCUUAGGGUUGUAAAGCUCUUUCGCUUCGGGACGAUAAUGACGGUACCGAGAUAAGAAGCCCCGGCUAACUUCGUGCCAGCAGCCGC